rnacentral:rRNA from 1 species
UACGUAGGUGGCAAGCGUUGUCCGGAUUUACUGGGCGUAAAGAGCGCGCAGGCGGUCGGCCAAGUCGAGUGUGAAAGCCCCCGGCUCAACUGGGGAGGGUCAUUCGAUACUGGUCGACUCGAAGGCAGGAGAGGGAAGCGGAAUUCCCGGUGUAGUGGUGAAAUGCGUAGAGAUCCGGAAGAACACCGGUGGCGAAGGCGGCCUGCUGGGCGGCGACUGACGCUGAGGCGCGACAGCGUGGGGAGCAAACAGG